CCCGGUGCCUUUAAUUCCCGUUUCCCGGCGCAGGCCCGGCCCCUCCGGUGACACAGCAGCGCCGGCGCGGGGCCGGGCGGAGCGCGGGGAGGCUGCGGCCGGAGCGGGGCCGGGCCGGGCCCUCCGCCGCUCAUGGCCCUGCCCGGGGCCCGCUCCGCCCGCCCGGCGCCCGGCGAGAGCCCGGCCCUGAGCCCGCAGCGCCGCCGGUGCGUCCGGGGGGCUCCGCCGGAGGGGGGUCCGGGAGGGCGGGAGCCGCCGGUGCGUCCCGGGGGAGCGGGAGCGGGGAUGGGGCACCGGGGGAGCUCCGCCCGCCCCGAGCACGGGGACAGCCCGGCCCUGCCGAGCCCGCAGCGCCGCCGCGAGCGGAGCAGAGCGGCCCCGGCCCCCGCGGAAAAGCCCUGAGGGAGGCGGGAGCCGGCGGCGAGGAGGAGGAGGAGGAGGAAGAGGAGGAGGAGGAGGAAGCGAGGGAAGGAGCCGGGGGAAAACAGGAGCGGGAAGAGCUCGGAGCGGAGCCCGGGAGCGGCCGGAGCGCGCCGGUGAGUGCAGAGUGUCCCCGUGUCCCCGGGGUGUCCCUGUCCGUGUCCCCGUGUCCCUCUGGGUGUCCUCCUGUCCCUGUGUGUGUCCCUCUGUUCCUGUCCGUGUCCCCCUGUCCCUUUGGGUGUCCCCUCUGUCCCUCCGGGUGUCCCUGUCUGUGUCCCCCUGGGUGUCCCUCUGUUCCCCUGUCUGUCCCCCUGUUCCUCUGGGUGUCCGUCUGGGUGUCCCUGUCCCUGUCCGUGUCCCCGUGUCCCCCUGGGUGUCCCUGUCCGUGUCCCUGUGUCCCCCUGGGUGUCCCUGUCCGUGUCCCUGUGUCCCCCUGGGUGUCCCUGUCCUUGUCCCCCUGUCCCUCUGUCCAUCCCCCGCGGUCCCACCCUGCCAAGCUCAGCCUGGGGAGGACAGCGGGAGCCCACAGAGGCGGGGUGGAAGGGGAGGGGGUGACAUUCCCAGCGACACUCCCAACCCCCAUCCUGCCCCCCACAAUUUGCGGCGAGGAGCAGCCUGAACCCUCCCCAAGAACCUUCCCGUCCCUUGUCCCUCUGUCCCCGCAGGAGGACAGCCGGACACCGGACCCGCCACCCUUCCUCCUGGGCGACACCCGCUGGAAUUCCGCUUCCGAGCAAACCCUCUCCUCCUCUUCCUCCUCCUCCUCCUCCUCCUCCUGCUGCCGCCACCAGCGGUGUCACCGCAGGGCCACCGGCGGAGCGUCCCCGCAUGGUGCAGCAGCGGCGGCGGCGUUAAGAUGGUGAGAGCUGGCCGGGCCGGGCCGGGCGGGGAGGAUGAGCAGCGGCACCGGCAGCACCGGCAGCACCGGCAGCACCGGCAGCACCG
rnacentral:lncRNA from 1 species